rnacentral:misc_RNA from 1 species
UCCGGUUCCUCACCGGCAGUCUCCUUAGAGUCCCCAACUUAAUGCUGGUAACUAAGGACAAGGGUUGCGCUCGUUACGGGACUUAACCCAACAUCUCACAACACGAGCUGACGACAGCCAUGCAGCACCUGUCUCUGCGUUCCUUUCGGCACUUCCAAAUCUCUUCGGAAUUCGCAGGAUGUCAAGGGUAGGUAAGGUUCUUCGCGUUGCAUCGAAUUAAACCACAUGAUCCACCGCUUGUGCGGGCCCCCGUCAAUUCAUUUGAGUUUCAACCUUGCGGCCGUACUUCCCAGGCGGAGUACUUAUCGCGUUAGCUUCGAUACUGAAAGGUUCCCCUUACAACAUCUAGUACUCAUCGUUUACAGCGUGGACUAC